rnacentral:rRNA from 1 species
CACGGGGGGUGCAAGCGUUGUUCGGAAUCACUGGGCGUAAAGGGCGUGUAGGCGGUCAGGUAAGUGGGUUGUGAAAUGCCCCGGCUCACCCGGGGACCGGCAUCCCAUACUGCUUGGCUUGAGUACGGGAGAGGAUGUGGGAAUUCCUGGUGUAGCGGUGAAAUGCGUAGAUAUCAGGAGGAACACCGGUGGCGAAGGCGCACAUCUGGCCCGAUACUGACGCUGAGACGCGAAAGCUAGGGGAGCAAACGGG